AAGCGCUUGCAACCAGACUUGCGUGCGGUCGAUCAUCCGGUGUUCUCACCGGUGCACUCGAUCGUAUUCAGGCCAGCAUCGGUUUCGGUGGUUGGAUAAAGGCCUUGGGAAUGUAGCUUCUUUCGGGGAGUGUUAUAGCCCAAGGUGCAAUGCAGCCUACCGGGACCGAGGACCGCGCUUCGGCUAGGAUGCUGGCGUAAUGGUUGUAAGCGA
rnacentral:rRNA from 1 species